UCCUGCCCAAGAGUGGGAGGGGAGACAGACUUGGACACUGAGCACUUGCUUAAUAGCACCAAGCGUCUCCCAGGCACUGUUCUAAGCGGUCAGGUGUAUUAACUUACUAAAUCUUCACGAGGUAAUGAGGAAGGGACUGAGUGUCUCCAUUCCAGGUGAGGUCACUGCGCUCAGGCAGGUUAAAAGACACUCAAGGUCACGUAGCUCGUCUGGAUAAGCCAGGUUUCCCUUGAGCCCGGGCAGAUGGCUCCAGAACCCUGUUUUUAAACCUCUGGAUGCAACAGCUGUUACAAGUGCAGAGCUGGGCCUGGUGUUCAGUGGUUCUCAGUCAUGGCACUGCUGGCACUUGGGGAAGUGCUUUGUUGGGUGGGACUGUCCCAGGCGUGGCCAACUGCUGGUCUCCAGCCGCCAAAUGCCCCCAGUGGCCCUCUGGUCACUGUGACAACAGAAAACACCCCUGCCUGUUUCUAGUGCCGUCGGGGUGGCAGUGUCCUUUCUCCCCCAUCCAUCAAGGCAGAGAGUGAUGGCUUCUGGCUUCACCCAUGACCCAUGCCCUCGGCAGGCUGAGAAAGCGCCAGGCACAUCAUGUCACCUAUGGUUCAUGUCACACAGCCUCACCUAAGUCUCCCAGCUGCAGGAGGAGGGUGUGUCCCAGCUCAGCCAUUUGGGUGAUGAAAACGUUCAGGGAGCUCGGUGGGGAUGAUGGUCGCACAACCUGGUGAAAAACAACUGGAUGGCAUGCUUUAAAAAGACCUCAGGAGCAGAGCCUGAUCCACCAACCAAUGAAUGGAUAAACACGAUGUGGUCUGUGCAUACAAUGCAAUAUUAAGUGGCCUCAAAAAGAAAUAAAGUACUGAUAGAUGCCACAACAGGGAUGAACCUUGAAAACAUUAUGCUGAGUGAAAGAAGCCAGACACAAGAGACCACACAGGGUCUGAUUUCAUCGAUAUGAAAUGUCCAGAACAGGUAGAUCUAUAAAGACAGAGAGUAGAUUACUGGUGGCCAGGGGCUGGGAGGGAUGGCGAGAUUGGGGGGUGAUGGCUAAGGGGUAUGGCAUUUCCUUUUGAUGAAAAUGUUCUAAAAUUGGCUAUGGUGAUGGUCACACAAUUCUGUGAGUAUAGUAAAAAGCACUGAACUGCACACUUUAAAUGGAUCCCCAAAAGUGACAUGCUGUCAAGUUCAUUUAUAUAGCACUCUCGGCAUGACAGAAUUCUAGAAAUGGGGAACAGAUUAGUAGUCACCAGGGGUUCAGGAAGGGAUUGGGGUAGAGAAAGUGAGGGUGGCGCUAUAAAAGGGCAGCAGGAAGAUCUUUGUGAUGGAAGUGGCCCGGAUCUUGGCCCUCCCAAUGUCACUAUCCUGGUUAUGAUAUCAGACAAUCCAUCACCAUGACUUGCAGAGUCCGUGUUUAUGAAUGCAAAUAUGGAACAACCUCAAGAUCAAUACUUGCGGCACUUCGGCCAUCAUUCCCGGACACGUACAGAACAGGAAAAACUGCGAGGUGCCCGGCGUUCACAUUCCCAGCUGAGGUCGAACAAGGUGACGCGUUGCCAUCUGGAUUCCACUCUCCCGCUGUGAACAAGUGUCCUUUUCACGGUCUACUUAGUGCCGCGUUUUUCACAUUUUUGUGCUUGUUCUUGGUGAUUCUGCAGUUGAAAAUGACCCCCAGGCAUAAUGCUGAAGUUCUGUCCGGAGUUCCUAGGCACCAGCAGGCCGGGACGUGCCCGGUAAACGUCAGACCAGCUGCGUUCAGGCACCACCGCCGACAGCCUGAGUCCGACGUGAGCGAAUCAACGGUGCACAUUGCAUAAGGUGUCUUUACACAGGCACGCACAUAAAACAAAGGUAUAUGUUAAUGGGAUCAUGAAAUGGACGGGACCGGAGGCUUCCAGGGACCUAGCCCCGUACUUGUACUUGUCCCAGGAGAAGUGGUUCAGCACUAAUUCACUGGUUCGGCGUUCCUCGCGAGUUUACAGAACGUUACGUGCCAUGAAUAAGGAGUAUUGACUGUAUUAUAGUUUUAUAAGAUGUUCCCAUUGGGGGAAACUGGGUAAAAAGCACACCAGAAUCUCUCUAUAUUAUUGCUUCAAAGUGAGUGUGACUCUACAGUGAUCUCAAAAUAUAAAGUUUUAUUAAAAAAAAAAGAGAGGAAGCCAUACCACCUCGUGAGCCAGGAAAGGAGACACCGUUCUCCAGCAAUAGACUUAUAAGGUUUUCAACAGCAGGAAUGUUGUCAGAAAGCUUUUGGAAUGAGUGAGCCUGGUUCCAUAUGAAAUUAUGAGGUAGCCUGCAGCUCUGUGAGAGCAGCUCAAGUCAAAUGUUUCAAAUGUCACACUACCAAAAAAAAUACCACAGUACAAAAAUACCCGUAUUUUGGUGAUUAAAAAUAGCACGUUAUCCUGGGAUAUUGGAAAAGCUUUGUGAUUACUACACCACAUGCACGUACAUACCUUGACUUUGGAGAUUUAUCUAUUUUUUUCCACAAACGCUUCAGGAGUACCUGCCAGGUGUCUGCCCUGUGCUGGGCAGUGCUGGGGACACAGAGCUGGCUGCGACACUUCCGGCCCUGUCCUCAUGGGGCUCACAGUCCAGUGGUGGGAACAGACUCAUCCUCC